rfam:Thermoactinomyces sp. Gus2-1 c15, whole genome shotgun sequence.
CUCUUAUCCAGAGUGGCGGAGGGACUGGCCCGAUGAAGCCCGGCAACCUCGGUGCAGAUCAGUGUACCGGAUGGUGCCAAUUCCUGCAGAAACCCCGGUUUCUGAAAGAUAAGAG